UCAUACAACUAGUAAGCAAUACUGUUGGCACCAAAUCAUUUCCUUUUUCCCCAAAGCCUCUAGCCUUUCCCAGGAUGCUCUAUUGCCUUCUGACAUUCCUCCAGUCCUCCAAAUGCCUAUUUGCCAGAAACUAAGGUAGUGGCUCUUGCCUACUGUGACUGCAUUUGCAAAAUGACCUUCUGUGCUCCAGGCCUCUCUCCAGCAAACCAUCCAUUUCUGUAACAUUCACCAAGCUUCCCCUAGGAGAAAACUCAACCCUGCAGAAACAAGGGAGGCACAGCUUCCCCCAGCACAAUUUCCCAGUUCGUGUUUUCCUAAGAAAGAGAUUGUAAUGAAAGAGCUCAGAGUCACAAAUUUCCCCAUAUUACAGUCUUAAGUAAUCUCUCUGUAAUUGUUUCCACACCUGUAAAUCAGGGAAGUUUAAGCCCUUGGACAGCUUCCCUGAAACUCAACCCAUGAGUUACAAAAACUAGCAGAGGAUUUUCUCUGAGGCAGAUCCCUGCUCUUCCCCCCUCUGCCCUUUGUUCCUAAGUCAUAUGUACUAUCUGCUGUGUCCUGGACUUCAAACCAUUCAACUGGUACUUCUGAGCAGCAAAAAGUAAUGUAACUGUAAAAUGGAAAAUAUCAUUUCUUUUUCUAAUUUUUUUAAAGAAAAAAAAGGGCUACAAUCUUCACUAUGUCGAUCAUUUCCACACAGGCAUUCAUUUCAUCUAUGGAAACCCAAACAGCAAAGAUGAAUAUUCUAAAAGAAAAACAGCUGUUAGGGAUAUGAGAAGGUGGUCAAACAGAGAAAUAAGGACAUGGGCUGUGCACAGCCAAGAAAAAAAAAUAAUGGAGAGAAAUUCAAGCUGCGCUGCAUACCAAAUCCUGAGGCAUACCUAACAUCCCAGCCCACAGAACUAUUCAGAGGACUGAAAUGGCCUGCCUCCCAAGCCCCUCAUGACUGCACUGACUUUUCGUCUCUAUUUAUGAUCAAAGACUGCUCUGUAUGAUAAAUAUUUAUAUGGUUCAUUAAGUAAGGGCUUGUAUAAAUAUUAUUAGAAAUCUGCCAUGGGAAACCACCGAUUUCACUGCUGAUUCUUCAACAAACUGCCAACUGUUAAAAUGCCAUGUGAGAAUGGAAACAAAACGUGGAAAUUGAGGUUGUUCUUUGCAAAACUAUUUCACCAAUUACAAAGAGGAGAGAGAAGUUGGAGGUCUGCAAUCCAGAAGACAGCCCGCACCACACUCCAAAUCUGCCAGCACCUUCAUCCUGGAUACCUGUCUCCAGAACUAUGAGAAAUAGGCUUCUGAUAAAAGACACCCAUUUAUGGCAUUUUGUUAUAGCACACAAA